rnacentral:rRNA from 1 species
AGCAGCCGCGGUAAUUCCAGCUCCAAUAGCGUAUAUUAAAGUUGUUGCAGUUAAAAAGCUCGUAGUUGAAUUUCGGGAUCAAUUUAUUGGUCGUGCUAUUGUACGUACUGGUAUUAUUGAUUCCUACCUUCUGACGAACCAUGAUGUCAUUAAUUUGGUGUCUUGGGGAAUCAGGACUGUUACUUUGAAAAAAUUAGAGUGUUUAAAGCAGGCUCACGCUUGAAUACAUUAGCAUGGAAUAACGAAAUAGGACGUUUGAUUCUAUUUUGUUGGUUUCUAGGAUCGACGUAAUGAUUAAUAGGGAUAGUUGGGGGCAUUAGUAUUCAAUUGUCAGAGGUGAAAUUCUUGGAUUUAUUGAAGACUAACUACUGCGAAAGCAUUUGCCAAGGAUGUUUUCAUUAAUCAAGAACGAAAGUUAGGGGAUCGAAGACGAUCAGAUACCGUCGUAGUCUUAACCAUAAACUAUGCCGACUAGGGAUCGGAUGAUGUUAAUUUUUAAUGUACU